rfam:Staphylococcus saprophyticus strain CNV2 Spades_3, whole genome shotgun sequence.
UAUACGCACUAGGGGUGUUUUGUAACUGAGAUGAGGAUUACCUCAAACCCUUUGAACCUGAUCUAGAUGAGACUAGCGUAGGAAAGUGUACAAUUAUAAUU